rnacentral:tRNA from 1 species
GCUGGUGUAGCUCAGUUGGUAGAGCACUUCACUCGUAAUGAAGGGGCCGCAGGUUCGAGUCCUGUCUCCAGCACCA